GGAAAAUAUUUCCAUUAACCUCUAAGCAGCCAUCCAGCCAGUGUUGAGAGAAACUUCGCGUGGGAAUUUUUUAAUUCUCUUGAAUGAAGAAAAAUAAGAGGUUGCGGCAGGGUAGCCCAUAGUUUGAGAAGAACUGGCAUGAGCAUUUCGUCAAAUCAGUUGAUAUCCGGUAAGCGUAGUUCCUUGAUUGGAUAUUAUACACAUCAUCUUCCUUGAUGUAGCUGUAGAUUUUCUUCUUUUGAACUAGCUCAAUUUGUUCAUUGUCAAGGCUUCUGGCGAAAGGGGUUAUUGAUUUUCUAUAUUUGUCAAAGAGCGGGUUCGUUUUCUUGUGCGUAAAAUGCAUUUCCCUUAUUCACUGCUUCAAUUUUCUCUCAGUCAGCCUUAAUUUUAUGUUGCCCAGAAGGUGGCGUAUGACUAGAUCAAGUCUCUUUGUUUUUAGAAAUAUCACCUUGAUGAAUUAUACCUUUCUAAACGAUUGGUUGUAUUGUUUCCUAAAGUUGGCAAGUGGCGACGCCCAAAGCUCGUCCAUUUUGAUUCGAUGUUGAACCAAUUUAGCUGGAAGUACGAAGAAAGACUUCCCUCUCCCUCGCCUUAUUUUGAUAGACUAUUAUAGCAUUUUAGGCUUCCUCCGUCUCAGCAUACAGAGCGUUGCAAAAAUGCUCCCGUAUUUCAUCCUUGUAUUGUUGAGUAAGGUCCUAUCCAUCAACCUUUUUGUUCAGGCGAUCGCCAACAGAUUUGAUGAUAUGAAAAUGGCAAAGAAUGUUUUCCGCUUUUGGAAAAUACUGUUCCAUAGGUGCGAUCUCAGAGCAGUCCUUAUCAGUAAUGGUGACUUUAGUGAUGCUCACGUCGUUAGUCUGAAAUCGGAGAGAGCACCUUUUGUUUCGGUCUUGGUGAAAUAUUGCGCGACAGGCUGGCUUUCGCCAUUAUUAUCUUCACACAUCAAAUGGUAAAGUGAGAAACCCACAUUGUU